CAGCAGCCGCGGUAAUACGUAGGGGGCGAGCGUUGUCCGGAAUUAUUGGGCGUAAAGCGCGCGCAGGCGGUCCUUUAAGUCUGAUGUGAAAGCCCACGGCUCAACCGUGGAGGGUCAUUGGAAACUGGGGGACUUGAGUGCAGGAGAGGAGAGCGGAAUUCCACGUGUAGCGGUGAAAUGCGUAGAGAUGUGGAGGAACACCAGUGGCGAAGGCGGCUCUCUGGCCUGUAACUGACGCUGAGGCGCGAAAGCGUGGGGAGCAAACAGGAUUAGAUACCCUGGUAGUCAACGCCGUAAACGAUGAGUGCUAAGUGUUAGAGGGGUCACACCCUUUAGUGCUGCAGCUAACGCGAUAAGCACUCCGCCUGGGGAGUACGGCCGCAAGGCUGAAACUUAAAGGAAUUGGCGGG
rnacentral:rRNA from 1 species